GAUGAACGCUGGCGGCGUGCCUAAUACAUGCCAGUCGAGCGAACGGACGAGAAGCUUGCUUCUCUGAUGUUAGCGGCGGACGGGUGAGUAACACGUGGAUAACCUACCUAUAAGACUGGGAUAACUUCGGGAAACCGGAGCUAAUACCGGAUAAUAUUUUGAACCGCAUGGUUCAAAAGUGAAAGACGGUCUUGCUGUCACUUAUAGAUGGAUCCGCGCUGCAUUAGCUAGUUGGUAAGGUAACGGCUUACCAAGGCAACGAUGCAUAGCCGACCUGAGAGGGGAACGGCCCAAACGGAAACUGAAAAAGGGUCCAGACCCCAAGGGGAGGCAGAAGGAGGAAAUUUUCCGAAAGGGGCGAAAGCCUGAGGGAGCAACGCCGGGGGAGUGAUGAAGGUUUUCGGAUGGAAAAACUCUGUUAUUAGGGAAAAAAAUAUGGGUAAGAAACUGGGAAAAUUUGGACGGAACCAAAUCAGAAAGCCACGGCAAACUACG
rnacentral:rRNA from 1 species